AUUGAACGCUGGCGGCAUGCCUUACACAUGCAAGUCGAACGGUAACGGGCCUUCGGGUGCCGACGAGUGGCGAACGGGUGAGUAAUGUAUCGGAACGUACCUUUCAGUGGGGGAUAACGUAGCGAAAGUUACGCUAAUACCGCAUAUUCUGUGAGCAGGAAAGCAGGGGAUCGCAAGACCUUGCGCUGAUUGAGCGGCCGAUAUCAGAUUAGCUAGUUGGUGAGGUAAAGGCUCACCAAGGCGACGAUCUGUAGCGGGUCUGAGAGGAUGAUCCGCCACACUGGAACUGAGACACGGUCCAGACUCCUACGGGAGGCAGCAGUGGGGAAUUUUGGACAAUGGGGGCAACCCUGAUCCAACCAUGCCGCGUGAGUGGAGAAGGCCUUCGGGUUGUAAAGCUCUUUCGGCCGGGAAGAAAUCGUAUCAGCUAAUACCUGGUGCGGAUGACGGUACCGGCAUAAGAAGCACCGGCUAACUACGUGCCAGCCGCCGCGGUAAGAC
rnacentral:rRNA from 1 species